GAGCAGCCCCAGCCUGAGAGGCACCAGCAGCCUCGCUGAGGGUGGCGGGGACAGAGCCGGGGAGCGGGCCAGCCUGGUCUGUCCAUGCCUGGCCUGGCGGCGUGGCCCUCAGAAGUCUCGGCGGGAUUUGGGUCUACACGGCAGCCCAGGAGAGCCCCCUGGAAAGCCAGCUGCUGGGCUGGGGAUGGGCUGGCUUCUGGGGAAACAGGGCACCCUCUGGCCAGCAGGGCGAGAGGGCCGGAGCCUGAGGAGAGGCCAGGGCAGCCAGAGACCCCGGCCCUCGGAGCUGCAGGGCCCAGGGUGGGGGAGGGGGACGCUGUGUGGGAAGAGGGCAGGAAGGGGGAUUUGGCACAGGCCCCUGCUGCCUGGUCUCAAUUUACUUGUGAGGAGCCUCCUAAUAGCCGGGUGAGAGCCGUGCACGCUUUCCUGAGAGCCUGCUAAGUGUUUAUGGAAUGAUUUGUGAGCAGAACUUUCUUUGGAAGCAGCUCGGGGAAGGAAUAUGGCCACCUUGUAAAUUGAGAGAAGAUGGUCCUUUGUUCAAAACAUUACUCAGGCUGGUGAGACUGGUGAACCAUUACAGAAAAAUGACGUCACCAGCCGCAACCCUUCUCCUGAUGCUGGAGCAACCCGGCCGUCUGAAUGCACAGCAGCUGCAAUCACAGCGAGCUCACAUGCAGACCCUUCUAUUCUGUUUCCGUAGGGUAGCUGGCCAAGGGCACGAAAAUAGUGAAAUACGUAUUUUCAUUAUAAAUUACUUUCCAUUUAUUUCAUCCCAGUUUCAUUCAGUGGUGUGCUGGAGGCCAGUCACACGGGAGCAGGUUGUGUGCGUUUCUUCCCAACUCUGCAGUUAGUGUUGUCAUGUUGGUAGUUUGAAAUCAGCCGUCGUGGACGUAUUUACACCACGGAAAUUGGCAAAAGAUAUAAAUCAAGUUUUAUUUUUUUCCUUCAGAGCUUCGAUUGUUAAACAUCGACCAGCUCCCUGCUGGUUACUGGCUUUUUCCUUGUGUGUGAAGGCGGGUUAUGUUCUCUAUGAAGGCCAUGUCAGCACAAUAAAGGGGGCCUGGGCCCCACAGGUAGAGAACCAGAGAUGGAGGGAAACGGGCCUGCAGAUGAUGGUAGGUGAGGAACUCCUGCCCGUGGCAGGCAAGAAGCAGGCCCCUGUGGGCUCCAGAAGCAGCCAGGGAGCUCUGAAUCCUUGUGAGGAGGGGGUCAAACCGCCAGGGAAGGUGCUGCCCCCUCCUCCCCUCCAGGGAGGCAGGAGCC
rnacentral:lncRNA from 1 species